AAACCAGCACCUCAAGUGGUCAGGAUGAUUAUUGGGCCUAAAGCAUCCGUAGCCGGCUCUGUAAGUUUUCGGUUAAAUCUGUACGCUCAACGUACAGGCUGCCGGAAAUACUGCAGAGCUAGGGAGUGGGAGAGGUAGACGGUACUCGGGAGGAAGGGGUAAAAUCCUUUGAUCUCUCGAUGACCACCUGUGGCGAAGGCGGUCUACCAGAACACGUCCGACGGUGAGGGAUGAAAGCUGGGGGAGCAAACCGGAUUAGAAACCCCGGUAGUCC
rnacentral:rRNA from 1 species